UGCCCGCAGCACUGCGACGUUUGGGGAGGGGGCGGGGCUCCGAGUCGGGGCUGCGACCGCACAACCUUUUGUGGUUUGCGCUGAGAGAAAAGGGCGGAGUCUCGGGGCAGGGGAAGGGGGUGUGGCGGGAAGGACUGGCGCAGUUACGCCGCGGUUCGCGGCUUCUCGCGACGGCCGCCAAUAUGGAGGCCACGGGUCGGUCUUAAUGUGACUGGAAAGCUAACGUAAACUCCUCUCCGUGAGGGGAGGAGGAAAAGACGAGGCGGCCCACGCUGUCGGCUCUCGCUCUCGUGGUUUCCGCCCUGCCAGCCCCGAGGGGACAGCACCUUGCCCUUCUCCUCUUCGACCUGUACCAGUUCCCAUCACAGGCCACUGGAAUAAAUACAACGGCUGCGGCCCCCAGACACCUUGCUGAGUUUGAAGCCCGGGCAGCAGAUUCACAGCUUGAGUUUCGUGUGGCUUCCAGGAUUCCUGAGGCGUGGUUCUGACCAGGAAUUCUUUUUAUCUUCGUUGUGUAUGAAUCCAGCCUUCAGACACCGAGCAGGGAACGUGUGAGAAGAGCAUGAGUGUGUUGUAAAAGAGCCUUGACCAUCGCGGCCAGUGCCCGGGCUGACCACACAGCAUCCCAUUACCAACAGCAGCCAGUGCCACCCGCAAGCUCACU